GCUCCUGUAGCUCAGUCGGUUAGUAGCAUCUGACUCAUAAUCAGAGGGUCACAGGUUCGAGCCCUGUCGGGAGCA
rnacentral:tRNA from 1 species